GACGUAGGGGGCCAGCGUUGUUCGGAAUUACUGGGUGUAAAGGGUUCGUAGGCGGUGUAGCAAGUCGGGAGUGAAAUCUCUGGGCUUAACCCAGAGGCUGCUUCCGAAACUGCUGUGCUUGAGUGUGGGAGAGGCGCGUGGAAUUGCAGGUGUAGCGGUGAAAUGCGUAGAUAUUCGGAGGAACACCAGUGGCGAAAGCGACUUUCUGGGGCAUUCCUGACGCUGAGGUUCGAAAGCUACGGGGGAGCAAACAGG
rnacentral:rRNA from 1 species